UAUGAGAGCUGUCUGAAUACCCAGC
rnacentral:piRNA from 1 species